AACACGUGUAAAAUUUCUAGGGGAAUUUUGACAACCCGAAGUAUGUGAAGUGAAAAAGGAAUUGGACACUUUACAACAUGUCAAGCAUUUUUUGAACUCUGAAACAAAUUAGAAGCGACCGCCCAAAGUUUCACGAGUACAACGGUGGGGGAAGAGAGCGCAGAGUCAGGGCCAAUACCGGAGCGACGCUUCCGCCAGUCGCUGACACGUGGGUGCGAAAGCUGCUCCGGACUGGCGGCGGGCGGCAGGAAAGGGCGGAGGCAGGCAACAGCGAGAGGCCGAGCUUCCCAGGAAUGAAUGAGAGGAGAGCAGCGUAGCGAGAGGCCCGUUCUGAGUUAGUUGCCUCGUCGGGAGCUCGCUUGGUUAUCGGCGCGGAGAGUGGGAAGCAGCUGUAGGUUGAUUUGCACCCACCCACCCCCUCCCUCCCUCCUCAGUGGCCGGGGUGCGCCGUCACCCCGAGCUUGAACCGUGAGGGAGCGGCGGAUGAGGCGCGCACCGCGGCUGCCUGCAGCCGGCUGUGGGACAGCACAGGGCCCAGCCGCCGCGGCUUGACUCACCGGCACUCAGCUGCCUUUGCCUCAGUGAUGUGGAGUGUGAGCGUCUCCCCUCAGCGACGUGCGGAGCAUGGAAACUCGCGACGCCCCAAAAGGUACAAACCGUGAGGAGCGGCCAGCGGCGGGGAGCACCGCCGCCGCGCCGAGGCCGCCGGGCCUGCUGUGGGAGCCCAAGUACAGCCUGGUGCAGGAGGUAGGCCGCGGCAGCUACGGCGUGGUGUACGAGGCGGUGGUGAGGAAGAGCGGCGCCCGGGUGGCCAUCAAGAAGAUCCGUUGCGACGCUCCGGAGAACGUGGAGCUGGCCCUGUCCGAGUUCUGGGCGCUGACCAGCCUCAAGCGGCAACACGAGAACGUGAUCCAGUUCGAGGAGUGCGUGCUGCAGCGCAACGGCAUCGCCCAGAAGAUGAGCCAUGGCAACAAGCGCUCCGAGUUCUACCUGCGCCUGGUCGAGACCUCGCUGAAGGGCGAGCGCAUCCUGGGCGCUGGCGAGCCCUGUUACCUCUGGUUCGUUAUGGAGUUCUGCAACGGCGGCGACCUCAACCAGUACGUGCUGUCCCGGAGGCCCGACUCGGCCACCAACACCAGCUUCAUGCUCCAGCUGACCAGCGCCAUCGCUUUUUUGCACAAGAACCACAUAGUCCACCGGGAUCUCAAGCCCGACAACAUCCUGAUUUCCGAGAAGUCUGGAGUUCCCAUUCUCAAAGUGGCCGAUUUCGGCCUCAGUAAAGUCUGCGUUGUGGGCGGUGGAGCGGCGAAUAACAAAAACGUGAACGUCAACAAGUGCUGGCUGUCCUCGGCCUGUGGCUCUGAUUUCUACAUGGCCCCGGAGGUCUGGGAAGGACACUACACGGCUAAAGCGGAUAUUUUUGCUUUGGGAAUAAUUAUAUGGGCCAUGAUUGAACGUAUAACUUUUAUUGAUGCCGAGACUAAGAAAGAACUGCUUGGGACCUACGUUAGGCAGGGCAGUGAGAUUGUACCUGUAGGGGAAGCAUUGCUAGAAAACCCAAAGAUGGAACUACAUAUCCCACAGAAAAGGAGAACUUUCAUGUCUGAAGGGAUCAAGCAACUAAUUAAAGACAUGUUGGCUGCUAAUCCACAGGAUCGCCCAGACGCCUUUGAGUUAGAAACUAGGAUGGACCAGGUCAUUUGUGCUGCCUAAAUUAUCUAUUGUACAAUGGAAACUUGUAAAAGUUCUUGGCUUGCCACCCUCAACCCUUCUCCAACUGUUAAAAUGUGAAAUGCAUUUUGAAAUGUGGAAUAUGUCUAAGCUCAUUGUUACUUUGGUUUGUUGAUGAGCAGACCUAGGAUUUAAAAUCGGAGAAUGUCUUUCAUGUGCUUUGAUUUCAGUAUGCUGCAUAGCAUGUUAUUUCAGCAGUAAGUGCCCUUUUUUUAUAAUCCAUAAAUCAGAGCAAUUUGGCAGUUCUAUCCUUUAUAUAUUUGUAAUAUUAAUAACAUUUUAUUUCUCUUUUGUCUCUGUGCAGGACAGUUUGAAGCAAGUUUUGUUUAGAAAAAGAUCUUUUUACAAUGACCUCCCUCCAGUUUUGGAAACACAUUUUUGCUUCUCCACCCACCCCAUUUUCUUUGUGUUUGAUUCUGGAUUACCUCAUUUUAAUCUCUUGUGUCAUUACCAUGUUUGUAAUUCCCUAGAGGAGCCUUGUUUUCUCAUGGGGGGAAAAGCAAUAAGCUGGAGGUAAUUUUCAACUUAUGAGCAACUUCUGCAGAUAACGUAGGGAAAAGUGACUCUGCCGUGAACCUACUUUACCAUUCAGUAAGAUCUUGCUUAAUUUUGCAUCUGUGUAUAAUUUAAAGAUGUAUCAGCUAAAUUCUGAUUUGAUCUAUUCAAUACUUUGCAUACUGUUUAAAAAUCAUUGGAUGUUUGGGAUGAAAAAGAAUAGGCCUUUUAUUUGUUGAGUAUAAUAGUGGUGAUGCAGAAUUAAUGAAUGAAAAUGUUUUGCUCUGUAGAUAAAUAUGGAGUAUCAUCUGACAUCAAGAAAACUGACAUGUAGAGGUGGAGAACUUGGAACGUAAGCUUUUUCUCAAGUGGAUGGGACUUUCCAUAGAAAUAAAGCUCAACAGCUUCUUUAUCAUACAAAGAUUGGAGACUUGCCACAUUUAGAGCUUCAGUGCUAGCUCAUGUCAGGAUGAGGAAAGCUAUGCAAUUAAAUUGCUCAGAUUUUUUUUGUGUGGGGAGGGUGCUGAGAUGUCGGUGGGGGGUAUUUUGGGGUUUGGGAAAGAUGUUGACCAUGCAAUUAAACUUGUAUUUACACUAUUAUAUUGUACCUUCACUUUAUCUGAUUAAAUGAUGUCCUUGAACAUUUAAUUGGGUGGAUUGAAUUCUUAAUAGUUGUAUGACCCUUGUGCUUAUCUUUUAUUUUUUUGUAAAGUUAUGUAAGUAACAAAAAAUAGAAGCAUCUGCACUUGUCUUUCUGUAUGAUUUUUUAAAUGAUCAGCAUAAGCGACCAGAGUGCCUUAAAUUAUUUUAGAUUUACUGAUGCUAAAUUGAAUUUUAGAAACUUCUAGCUACAAGUAGUUUUUUUUUCCCAGUUACUGUAUUGGGAAAUAGUUCUGAUGGCCUGGGUUGAAGUGUGUCUGGUAAUCUGAUAACCUAGCAAAGAUUGGUUCAGUCAUAAAUUUAGUAGCUUCAUCGAAUGUAGAAUUGAAUAAACAUAACUGUUUGGAAGUUGAAAGUUAACACUUACCAUUGGCACCAGCCUUGCCCCUCCCCCCCCCCCAAUCUCAUCACUCCACCCCUUGUAUUAAAAAAGUGGAACCAGAAAACUGGGUUAUAUAGAGUUAGGUGUUUGGACUUUGAGAUAAAGGAAAUAAAAAUCUAAUUGCUUAGCAACCACAGUUUAAAAAAUGUAUCAGUCAGUUUUACAGGUUACUGAAGUGGUUAAUGUGGAAAUUAGAAAAUAGCCUUUUUUGAUUUUCUUGAGUAUGUAAACUUACUCAAUGCAGUGAUGGCAGGUUUGAGACUUGAAAAAAAAUCCAAGUUUUCAGCAUUCCUGAUUUUUCACCAGCGUUUCUAGAAGAACUGAAUGUUGUGAUUUAAGGUGUGCUAGCCUCUGCAACAUGAAUGGAGUGUCAAUUUUGGUACUUUUAUCAAUUACUGUGCAAUAAGUGAUUUGAAGUCCUUGAUGUGAUACAGUGUAUACCAAAGUAGAAAAGCUUGACCUUUCACCAUUCAGUACACGAAAAUACCCUCAUUAACAGGUAAUUAGAAUAAAUUGUUUUAUUUUUGCCACUAGUUUGAACAUGUAGUAUGGAGGCUGGCUCUCCAAAGUAUUCUGAAGGAUCCCCAGUACAAACGUUACUACUAGGAUGAAACCUGAGAAUUAUGACCAAGAUAUGCAAGUGCCAUCAACUUGCAUCAUUUUAAAAUCUGAUGAUCCAAUUCCAGUGAAGUUCUAUCACAUUCUAACUUGAUCUAUCUCUUUAAUAUCAAAAGUAGUUUAUUAUUUUCAAUGUCAGUUGCAAUAUCAGAACCAUUGAAGUGUAAACUUCAUGAAUUUAAUGAUGCAUUGUGAAAAUAUUUUUAAAAGCCUUCAAGCUUUGAGCAUUGGACUGUAGAUGUGAUCAAAACAUAAAUAUAUGGUAACCAUUUUUAAAUUCAAGUUUGUAUAGCAUUAUUUAUAUAAGCUUAAUAUAUGGCUUUCUCUUUCAGCAGAAUACUGAGUAAUUUGAACAAAUUUAACAAUCAGUUGUAAAGUUUUUUUUGUCAAAAGCUAAUCUGUAAAUAUUGCCUUUUUUUGAGAAAGUGGCCAUAUUUCUGCAAUUGAUUUGUGGUUUGCACUUGGUUUUGCUUAACUCUGUAGUCUAAGCACUAUAAUAUAUCACUUUAAUAGUGAAACUAGGCAAAUUUUAAAACACUAGCCUUGGUUACAAAGAUCUGAAACAAAAUUGCCAAGGUGAGGGUUUACUGUUUCCAGAAAUUAAACAAUCUUAUUAAGCUUUUCAUAUCAAUACCUUAGUGGAUCAGAGAAAUUUCAAGGUUUUCUCCUCACUUUAGGGAUUAAAGAUAUAACUUCGGUCGAUACUGCUAACUAGCAAUUGAAAUAGAAGAACUGUUAAUUUCUUGAAAAUUUAGAAUUGUUACAUUUACAUCUUUCUUAAGAAUGCUCCUCUACUUAAAAUCUACAUACUCUAAUUCAUUUGGAGCAGAAUGCAAGGAUGUAAUUUUAAUGUUUAAUUUUGGAAAUUGAGUUUAAAAUGUGCAGGACUGGUUUUCUUAACUGGGAUUCUUAAUCUGCAAAUUGAGUCUUUCACUUGAGUAUUUCCAAGAAUGUAACAGAUUAAACCUGUAUCAAAUGAUAAUGUCUAGCGAGUCCUUUCCCCAGUUGGGCCAGAUAAAAUGAGUACUCUGUAUUUGCUGAUAUGUGGAUACUUUUAUAAUUGAUGUUAGACUUUCCCUUCAUCCCUGGAGCAGUAUUUCAUUCUGAAUGUGCUUUGAGUAUCUGUGUAAUGUUCUAUUAUGUAUUUAGUGUGUUAGAACAUAGCAAGUUAAAGAAAAUAAUUUGUGUUCUCCAGUAAUUGUUAGAGCUGAAAAUUAUACUCAAGAACAUUUGAAGGAUUCAAGGCAUAGUUAAGAAUUUUUUAAAAAGUCCUUGUUAUAUAGGGACACUGCCAAACAGUAUCUUUAAAAAUACUUAAAAGCAAGAAUGCUCCAAAUUUAGUUUUUUUUCAAAUAAAUUAAUACAGUUUUGAAUGACCUCAUUUACCAGAUCAAUAUGACCACUUUAGCAUCAGGAAAUCAGCUGAAUUUCAAACAAACAAAUGGAGGCUGAAUUGAAAAUAGAAAAAAAUCUGAAAUUUAUAUUGAAACUAAAGCAUUGAUGCUCCUCCUAAUGGGAAGAACAUCUCAUUGAUCUUUUGCCCAACUUGCAUUAAUUAGAGUGAUUGGCCACCAGACAUAUAAGUAUGUACUUGCUUUUCCUUUGCCAUAUAAUGUCCUUUGAAGCCAGUACGACAAUUUGGCUUUGGUAUUGCAGGAAGAUGGCACUUGCAUUUUGAGGUCAAAUCCAAACUGAAAAUCUUGAGUUGCAGUGCUUGUUAAUCUAGGGAUAAAGAUGCUAUAGUUUGAUCUGUGUGCUUUCCUCUACAGUUUAGCUUAUGUAACUGCACGGACAUGUUGCAACAAAUCUUUACAAUCUUAGCAGCUAAACUAUAGGGAAAAAAUGUCUACUAGUAGAUGAGCUGUUCUUUUCAAAGUUACUAAGGAAUAUGGUUCUGGAAAUGGAGGGAAGAAAUGAGGGAACAGGUUCUGAACAUUUUUAUAGGGACACUGCUAGUAGUAACUGAGCGUUUAGGAUAUGUUUACUGAAGAGUUUCUGUGGUUUACAGAAGGAUUUGUUUCAAGAGAAUCCUUGUUUGUUUCUACCUCGUAUGCAGGACAUCACUCAAGUCUUGCUGGCUGAUGUAACACUGCUUGUAUGGUUGAUUUUUGCAAAUGCAUUAAGUUGUUUCCAAGAAUCUUUAUACUUCUAUGCAAAUUUUUUGUAUUCAAAUUUGAAACACUGUAAUACCAUAAUAUCUUUAUGUUGGUCCUUCUGCAUGGAAUACAUCUUGUGGACCAAUAUUGAAUAUUGUUUCAUUUUCUUAUUUAACAUGAUUUGUAGUCUGGACUGGAGCCAUUUGAAUCUUCUAAUAUUGUCUUGGGAAGAAAUUUUGACAUGUUAUUUCAGCAAUAAAGGGUUUUAAAAUGUCA